rnacentral:ncRNA from 1 species
AUUCCCUCGGGGCCGGACGGAGAAUAGAGAACCGGGUGGAAAUCCCGGACGGUACCGCCACUGUGAACGCGGAGGCCGCGCACAUGACGAAAGUCAGUCAUUGGGGAAUUCCCUGAGAAGGCGUGCGUAGGCUUAGGAUGCGUGAGUCAGGAGAACUGCUGGAUGCUAUAG